CCCUUAGAUGUCCGGGGCCGCACGCGCGCUACACUGAAGGAAUCAGCGUGGCUUUCUCCCUGACCCGAAAGGGUUGGGAAACCCGUUGAAUCUCCUUCGUGAUAGGGAUUGGGGCUUGAAAUUGUUCCCCAUGAACGAGGAAUUCCCAGUAAGCGCGAGUCAUAAGCUCGCGCUGAUUACGUCCCUGCCCUUUGUACACACCGCCCGUCGCUACUACCGAUUGAACGGUUUAGUGAGGGCCUCGGAUUGGUCUCGGCCCGCUCUUUACCGGGCGGCGCCGUUGGUCGAGAAGACGCUCGAACUUGAUCGUUUAGAGGAAGUAAAAGUCGUAACA
rnacentral:rRNA from 1 species